rnacentral:lncRNA from 1 species
GGGGCUAUGCCAUUGCCAGCAGCAGUGACGAUCGGAUGAAUGAGCCUCCAACCUCUCUUGGGCUUGUGCCUCACCAGAUCCGGGGAUUUCUUUCACGGUUUGAUAAUGUCCUUCCCGUCAGCCUGGCAUUUGACAAAUGUACAGCUUGUUCUUCCAAAGUUCUUGAUCAAUAUGAACGAGAAGGAUUUAACUUCCUAGCCAAGGUGUUUAAUUCUUCACAUUCCUUCUUAGAAGACUUGACUGGUCUUACAUUGCUGCAUCAAGAAACCCAAGCUGCUGAGCAUCUUUGAGAUCUUCGGCUCUGGAUGAAGCAGGAGAGGCAGAACAUAAACAAAUGGACGGAAGAAUCAAGCACUUCUGUGAAUGGAAUCUUUUAUUCCUCGCCCAUCUGAUUCUUGGCUGCUUUGUUCCAUAAGGUAGAUGAACAAUGAUGAUAAAAUAAAAUGUAAAUAAGA